UCCUUGGUAACAUGGUGAUCCACGCC
rnacentral:piRNA from 1 species